rnacentral:rRNA from 1 species
UACGUAGGGUGCGAGCGUUAAUCGGAAUUACUGGGCGUAAAGGGUCCGUAGGUGGCCAACUAAGUCAGACGUGAAAUCCCUCAGCUUAACUGGGGAACUGCGUCUGAGACUGGAUGGCUUGAGUGCAGGAGAGGAAUGCGGAAUUCCAGGUGUAGCGGUGAAAUGCGUAGAUAUCUGGAGGAACACCGGUGGCGAAGGCGGCAUUCUGGACUGCAACUGACACUGAACGACGAAAGCCAGGGGAGCAAACGGG